AGCGACUUCCGCGGGGACCGGGCUGGGGCGGGGGGCGGGGCUGACCUUGAGAGCGCAAGGGCGCAGGCGCACAGAGGCCAGUGGAUAUCUACCAAGAGCAGAACCGAGAAGAAAAUUCAAUGUGGACGCGUCCCACCUACUUAAUUCCAAUAUGAACAGAAAAGACAUUAUAACACGGCAAAGAGUGAAAUUCUCAUGCACACAUGGAGGGGGUGUCCCAAAACAUAUAUUUUUGGAGGGGACAAAACCAUAUGUACUGGCGAACUCUAUAUUGUGAUGAGAAUUAACAUUGGAGGCAAGUUUGAAAUAACUACACAGAGCAUCAUUGGUUCAGAAAUUUAUCCGACAGUUUGAGAAGCCUUAUCGAAACUUUGCCUACCUUAACCUUCAUCCAUGAGAUAUCACCAUAAUGUGAUUUUCGUCCUGAAAGAGUACCUAGAAGUAAUGUUGUUCAACCUGUAAAUGCCCAAGGGCGCUAGGAAUCACUUCUGAGCCACCUAAGGAAGUUAGAUGGGGCUGUUUGAAAAGGGUACAGGAGACAAAGUUUAUAACUUGUUAGUUUUCAAUUAGGUCAGGGUGGGGGUGAUAGAGAAAGGAUAAGAAAUGUCACAAGCCGCUGCAACUCCAGUGGCCUUGGGGAGUAGUUUGUGAAAUAGAUUUCUGUUGAUGAUCAAUCCAGAACUUACCCCCAAGGGUUCUGUUUCUGCUCUCCUGAGAAAAGGUUGUAAAUACGGCUCCUGGCCAACUGCGGAUGGUUGUGUGUGGUAAAGACGGAUUGGGCUGUCUGCUGGGGUAUCUGGGGGAAGCAGUUGAGGAAGAAAAGGUGGAGGAGAGUGGCUCUCAGUGACAGGCCCUCAGCCUGUCAGUGGCAUCACAUUCUCUGAAGUCUUACUCUUUCAUUUAUGACAUUGUGGGUCUUGUUGCUGUCCUAAACCUGGAAGCCUCAUGGAGGUUCACAAAACAUCUCCUAUAUGACAGUAAGAUGGAAAUUAUUAACAGUGUAGACUCCAUUCCUGCCAGAGUAAAAGCAAGAAAAGAAGUCAUGCAGUUUCUGCUAUCUUCAUUUGAGUAGACUGUCAUAGCCUAUGCUCUUUCUUUUCUGCAUGGCACAUUGAUCGCCAAUCCUUGGUUAAAAUCCUUUAAUAUCACAUGAUUAUCUCUGUUACAAAAUUAUUAAACAAGUAAUAUUUUAAAGAUUAGUUUGUGUAUGUUUACAUUAUAGCUACAUAAAGUCUUUUAUCCUAUAAAACAGUAUUUUCUAUGUAUCGCCUUUCUCUUUUUUUCUUAAAAUAAUGAAUUUACCACUUCCCAUUUCUUAAGUCAGUAGAGGUCUUUGAUAAAGUUUCAGAUACAGAGAAUUAUGAAAGGGAAGGGGGAGAUGUUAUGGUAACAAUUUAAAGAUCUUUUUGGCAAAGAAGUCAUGGAUACAAUCUAAAGAAAAGUCUUGGCUGUUACCAUUUGGUUUGUGAAAACUUAGAAAUGUCUUCUUUGAGAAUUGAUCUCAAAUAUGUGUAAAUAUCAACAGAAAGCUACUUAUCAGUGCCCAUUCUGAUCUGAAACUCUUAUUAAAAUCUAUCACUUUUUCAAAGUUAAUUUCUGUCUUUUACAAAAUGUAUAGAUUUGUUUCACCUCUUUAAAAAGUUCCAUUGUUUUCUUAUUACUAAAUGUGAUUAUGUGCUUUAUUCUGUGAUUUACAUUCCUUUGCUAUUUAUCUGUGGCUAUGUGGUCCUUGUGUUUUGGGCUUUUAGUCCUGUAGUAAAAUUGUACUUAAAAUUCUUUAUAGGCAAUAGUAGGAGCAAUUGUGUUCCAGUAGCAGUAAAAUAUUGGUCAUGCUGCCAUGUACAGUUAAUGGAAGAUUAUGUAAUUGUUCUAAAAAGCCACUAGUCUCAAUAGUGAAAAAUGGCUGUCUUUAAGCUAGAGGAGGGUCCAUGAGUGUGGAACCUCCAUGAUCUGUUUAGUGCCUUUGUCAGAGACAGAAGAGCUGUUUCCCUUUUAGUCAGCACCAUGUGAGAACAGAGCAAGAACUCAUCUACCCCAUGAAGAGGGCCCUCUUCAAAUCCACUUUUGAUCACUAUGAGAAUCGAUUUUAUGGUGAUAUAUGUUCUCAACCAUAAUAGCAGAAAGUAUAGUGCACUUUCUUAGCUCUUUGUGCAUGCCAUAGCUAUCACUAAUGUCUGAUAAAGUCUAGAGAGCCCCCUUUAGCAUAAUACUUUUCAGUACUAAAAUAAAAUACAUCAGAUUAUAAUCAAUUGUGUGUGAUACAGCAAUAAAUAUGUUAAGUGUAGGCAUGUACUUCUAAAUUAAUUUUAUUAAUUAAUGGAGGAUCUAAUUGUAAAAUUCUGGAGUAAAAACUAUCAGUUGUGUCUUGAGACUCAUAACUAUGAUAAUGUGAUAGGAAAAUAUAACUUUUUAUAGGCAAAAAAAGUGACCAGUACAGUAGUAAUACUGAUGUAUUGUCUAUAUUCACUAUUGGAAGAAAUUAGGUUUUAUUUAGAAGUUAGCGAAAAUAGUAGGACUGGGUCAUUGGGAGAGCAUUUGGUUAGCAUGUAUAGAAUCCUGUGUGAUCCCCAGCAUGGGAGAGCAUUUGGUUAGCAUGUAUAGAAUCCUGUGUGAUCCCCAACAUGAAUAAAAACAUUAGCAGACAUGACUGCAGGUGUGUGUCAGCAUGAAAGUUUUUGGUGAGCAUGUUUGAGACCUUGUGUUUCAUGCUCAGCAUAAAGAAAUGACAGAUAUGGUGUGGGUCAGUGGGAGUGUAGGGAAAGAGGGCCAGCCGAAGAAACCCACUCCGGUCCUGAAAGCAGAACUAGUGAGAGAAACACACUCUGGAUCUGAGACCUGAGCCAGUUAAAAACACUUGUAUCCCUGAACCCAGAACCAAAGAAACACACCCUAACUCAGGAACCAUUGUCAAAGAAUUAUACUUUGUCUCUAGAAUCAGAGCCAGAAAGAAAUAUUCCCUGGCCCUAAAAUUAGAGCAAAAAGACUAAAAUAAGGACCAGUGAAAGAAACAGGAUCUGAAAUCAGAGCUAUCUCUGCCCAUGACCAACUGACCAAAGAAACCAACCAACCCCUGAGCAAGAAAACCAACCAAUAGCUGAUCAGGAAAACCAACCAAUCUCUGAGCAGGAAACCAACCAAUCCCUGAGCAGGAAACCAAUCAAUCCCUGAGCAUCCUCACUCUAACCCAGAGCCAGUGAAAGAAACACAUCCAGGUUCUGAAACCUGAACCAGUGAAAGAAACACACCCAGGUUCUGAAACCUGAACCAGUAAAGUAAACACUUUAUCCCUGGACUCAAAACCAAAGAAACGCCCUGAUCUGAAGUGAGUGCCAAAAAACCCCACACUUUAUUUCUAGAAUCAGAGCCAGUGAAAGAAAUAUGCCCUGAUCCUAAGAUUAGAGCCAAAAGCCUAAAAAGAGCCUGAGAAAGAAACACAGUUUGGCCCUGAAAUCAGAGCCAUCUCUGUCCCUGACCAACUAACCAAUCCCUGAGCAGGAAAACUAGCCAAUCCCUGAGCAGCAAAGCUUCCUGAGAAAACUUCACUCCUAAGAAGCACUAGAAAAGCCCCUCUUCCUGUUCAGUUGCAGGCUGUCCUUUCGCAUCCUGGCAGUGACAGCCACUAACUUGGACUCCUCCUUCCCAAAGAAAUCUCUUUCUUUAGAGUCUUAGGUGAAUACCUUCAUUCACCUGUGCAGAAAACAGAAAAACCUUGCUGAAACGUUGGCUUAUCGGUAGCCAGAGAUUGAUACAUAUCUGCAGGGGUUUCCCCCUUAGCAGGGUGUGUCAGAAGUAACAUACUGGGCCUCAGAAGAGUGCUCUGAGGAACAGAGCAAAGCUCAGCUGUAGAGGCUCUCUGGUGAAGAGCAGGAUUGCUAUAUCCCACCGGGAAAAACAUUCCUCACCACACCCCAGCUUCAGGUAGCCUGGCUUCCCACAAGUCAAGAUACCUCUUCCUCCAGGGAUGAGCUGUCCUAUUGCAGCCCCAGCUUCCAGAGCUGUCCUAUGCAGCUCUAGGUAUUGCCUGGCUUCCCGAUAAAUCAGGAUACCUUUGCAGGUCCAGAGCUUUAACACUCACACUUGCUUAUAAGGAGAGCACUCGGUUAGUGUGUAUCAGAUCCUGUGUUUAAUCCCUGAUGUAAAUAAAAUAGCAGACAGUAAGUGGUUAAUAUUUUUCUCAACUUAAUUAAAGCCUGCUUUAUGAUUUUAAUCUUACUUUGCAGAAUUCCUGACAUAUAUUUUACUUCAGAAAGACCAUCUUCACAAAACCUCUUACUUUCUGGCUUGAGAUUAUAUCAAAAAGUCAUAUGCAAAUACCUUCAGUUUAUUAGAGUUUAUUAGUGAAUUUGUGAGCUGAGAAGUGAGUCUUAGAGCAUCCAAAAUCACAUAUAGACAAGAGGAAAUUUGCAGCUGAUACAGACGGUUUUAUGCCUAUCUAUCUCAGACAUUUACUGCCACAGGCUAUUCUUCAUAAAAUAAUUUAUUGUUGAUACAUUACCAUACAGCAUAUGCAAUUUUUCAAUACCUUUAGCUGUGCCAUACUCAGAAAAGGAAAUUCAGAUAACUGAACACACUUAAAAGUUUCCUUGAGAUAAAAUUUUAAGAAGCAAAGUGAGGUUUUUCACAUGCUUUUCUUAUGCUUUAGCAUUCUGGCACAGCACCUGGGGAACCUGACACUGACCAACAACGAGGAAUUGCUCGUCUAAUUGAAAGUGGCAGGAACCUUGGGAGAAAGCAAUAGCAUACCAAGGAUAAUUAUAAAAAGUAGCAUGAACACUAAAGCAUAGUGUUAAGAAUCCAAAGCUCCCAAAUGAGGUUAGACUUGAAAAAAAAAUCUAAGAGAGGACAAAUAAUGGACCUUUUACAAUUCUGCGCAGAAGCAGCUAAUCAUGGGUGAGCCAUGUGCAGCUUCUCGUACUGCCUUAGUUUUGAGAGAGAGAGCAGAGCUCCCUGUCUGGCUCCGUUAGUAACAAAGGAAGCACACGAUGACAUGGUGAAAGAGCCGUGUUUGCGUGUCAAGAACCUGGGUUUAAUUUCUGUCCACACUAUUAAAAUGUACUGAGCUUCUCCAA